UCGGGAAUUUUGGGCAAUGGGCGCAAGCCUGAUCCAGCCAUGCCGCGUGCAGGAAGAAGGCCUUCGGGUUGUAAACUGCUUUUGUACGGAACGAAAAGGCUCUUUCUAAUAAAGAGGGCCCAUGACGGUACCGUAAGAAUAAGCACCGGCUAACUACGUGCCAGCAGCCGCGGUAAUACGUAGGGUGCGAGCGUUAAUCGGAAUUACUGGGCGUAAAGCGUGCGCAGGCGGUUCUAUAAGACAGAUGUGAAAUCCCCGGGCUCAACCUGGGAAUGGCAUUUGUGACUGUAGAGCUAGAGUACGGUAGAGGGGGAUGGAAUUCCGCGUGUAGCAGUGAAAUGCGUAGAUAUGCGGAGGAACACCGAUGGCGAAGGCAAUCCCCUGGACCUGUACUGACGCUCAUGCACGAAAGCGUGGGGAGCAAACAGGAUUAGAUACCCCAGUAGUCCCUGAGCGGGCUGGCAAGGCGCAU
rnacentral:rRNA from 1 species